rnacentral:rRNA from 1 species
GAUGAACGCUGGCGGCGUGCUUAACACAUGCAAGUCGAACGGUGAAAGAGAGCUUGCUCUCUGGAUCAGUGGCGAACGGGUGAGUAACACGUAAGCAAUCUGCCCCUGACUCUGGGAUAAGCGCUGGAAACGGCGUCUAAUACCGGAUACGAGCUGCGAAGGCAUCUUCAGCAGCUGGAAAGAACUUCGGUCAGGGAUGAGCUCGCGGCCUAUCAGCUUGUUGGUGAGGUAAUGGCUCACCAAGGCGUCGACGGGUAGCCGGCCUGAGAGGGUGACCGGCCACACUGGGACUGAGACACGGCCCAGACUCCUACGGGAGGCAGCAGUGGGGAAUAUUGCACAAUGGGCGCAAGCCUGAUGCAGCAACGCCGCGUGAGGGACGACGGCCUUCGGGUUGUAAACCUCUUUUAGCAGGGAAGAAGCGAAAGUGACGGUACCUGCAGAAAAAGCACCGGCUAACUACGUGCCAGCAGCCGCCGUAA